UUUUUUCGUGUCUAGCAGGUCAGUCACCUCAGUUAUCGGGGUAGGCAAUCGUCGGAUAGCGGACAAUGUGGGAUGGCCGGGUCACGGCAACAGGUAUGCAAUCCGACUGCGUCGAAUAGCGGAAAGCGUUCAUUACUGUCACCGAAAACGCAAAUUUAAGUAAUAAAUUCCGUGAAAAAAAAUUCAAAACAUUUCGGGCGUCCAUGCAAAUUAUACAGCCGCAAUAUAUUUUUGGUUGCCUAGCAGGUCAGUCACCUCGAAUGAAGUUUGCCGAAGUAAUAAGGGCCUACUUCGUCGGAUAGAGGACAACGUCUGACUUCUAUGACACGGCAACAGGUAUACAAUGGUCAUUACUGCUGCAGAAAACGCAUAUUAAGUCAGUCACCUCAGUUAUUCGGAUAGGCAAUCCGACUUCGUCAGAUAGCGAACAAUGUGCGACGGCCAGGCCACGUUGUCAGGUAUGCAAUCUGACUGCGUCGAAUCGCGGACAGCGUUCAUUACUGUCACUGAAAACCCAAAAUUAAGUAAUAAAUUACGUGAAAAAAAUUCAUAAAAUUUCGAGCGCAUAUACUCAAGCCUGUAUAUAGUAAUAGUGACACUACAAAGGCAAUCUCCUCGAUGUCAAUCGGCCUGAGACUCGUCGAUGUCAAUGUACGGCCGCGCGCAGCCUAUAAAUUUGGCAGGGAACGCGAAUACAAUCCGAACGGGGUCGUACGAAAUCCGUAAUGGUGGUGAAACUCAAAUUUUCGUUAAAUAGACGGCAGAAGUGAUAGCAAAAGGUAUUUUAAAACUGUUAAUGAGUUUCAACAUCCUCACGUUCCCCUACACCGGAUGCAAAGUCAAAUGAAUUCAGUCAUUGUUUGAUGGGCACUUAUAAGAAAGCUACAUAUAAAAUCAAGGUCGUUAUUGAGAGAAGAUAUACGGCAGUUACCCUUUGACCAACUUGAGGUGGUGUUGCAUAGCAAGUCGAGGGAUAUUUUCGAUUUUUUUUGUCCGAAUGCAGCGCAGCGAGCGAGUGGCAACGUGGGCAUCACUGACGUCCACCAAAACUUUACGGGGUGUCCCGUAAAGUAGAAAAUGGUACACGUUUCAAUGUGACAUAUUAUUUUGCUGUUGUUUUGAUUGCAAUAUUGCCUUUAAAUCUGGGAAAAUAUUGGACAGAAUAACUAGCAUAUCGUCCUUAACACGUGGACGGACAGUAACUAGACAACUACCAUAGCAGUCAUACUAAUUGAAGUAGUAAUAUGACCAUAAAAAAUUUUCUUAUACACAGUAUAGAUGACACGUCUCAAGUAUUUAUCAUUAGCGGAUAUAUUUUAUGUUAUGACAUUUAAACAUUUAAACAUAAUAUACCUAUUUUAUCAGUUCCACGCACUCAUAUGUUUCAAUAGCGUCUCUGCCGAGCUACAUGUUCGGAAGACGGGUUUUUCGGCGGGUACAUCACUCGCCGAUGACGAGCUUUCAUCAUCAAUAUCCCGGUCCUCAAACUUACUAUAGAUUUUCCAACUUUUUGCGGAUAUAUUUUAUGUUAUGACAUUUAAACAACUUAAACAUAAUAUACCUAUUUUAUCAGGUACCAGUACGGAAUGUCGAUUAUUGCGAUAAAAGUAUGGAUAAAGUAAUUUCCUGGGAUUGUGAUCCGGCGUCCAAUGUCUCUUACGAUUGGAGUAAGAUGGAUAAAUAAUUUCCAAAAUCGUAAUUUCCAAAAUCGUAAUCGGCAGAACCUGAUGUUUGUUAUCCUUAUGGACGUAAUAAUUCUCUUUUUUAUAUUGUUUUAUUUAUAUUGUUUAUAUUGCAUUUUGUAUAUUGUAUUAUAUUUUGUAUUGUAUCAUAUUUUGUAUUGUAUCGUAUUUUGUAUUGUAUUAUAUUUUGUA